rnacentral:lncRNA from 1 species
AUGCCUCUCCCCGCCUUUUGGACUGACGGCUCCUCCCAGGCCUCGGAAACUGGGUCCGAGGCCACGCCCGCCCUGAGCGGCCGAAGGGGCGGAUACGACCGCGCAUGCCCAGUAGUCCUCCGCUGGGCGCCUCCAAGGAGCCUGGAGGGAAAAGGGAAGAAGGUCCGGAUUGGCGCCCGGGUCCUCCGACCCCCGGAAAUGCUACCCAGGCCGGAAGGAGAGGAGCCGAAUACAGCGGAGCCGGGGAGCCGUGGCGCCCGUGUGGGUCCGAGAGGGGUGACAAGUCCUGGGCUGCCUCGCCCGGGACUCACGGGCAGCACACCCCCCCAGAAGGACAGGCCGCUCCUACCUCCUCCCGGAGCCAUGAGGCCGCUCCGAGGCUCCGUCAUGGACCCCAGACUCGCGGGCACAGGAAGGAGACCCAGACCCGCAGCAGGGAAGGCAGGCGAGCCCCCGGCAGGGACUGCAGGAACGCCCAGCUUAGCAGCAGCCCAGAAGUGGGACAGAGGCACCAAACGGAUCUCCCUUGGGCCUCCAGAAGGGACCAGCCCGGGUGGACCCUCACCCCACCCCUGCGGCCUGGAGAACAGGGAGAGGAUACAGUCCUGCAGUUCGAAGCUCCUUGGUCUGCUGUGUUCUGUUACCGUAGCCACAUUCCCCUUUGAGUGA